AGCAGCCGCGGUAAUUCCAGCUCCAAUAGCGUAUAUUAAAGUUGUUGCAGUUAAAAAGCUCGUAGUUGAAUUUCGGAAUCUGUCCAUCGGUCGGGCUUCACUGUCCGUACUGGUGUGGUGGGUUCUUACCUUCUGAAUAACCAGCAUGCCAUUCACUUGGUGCGCUGGGGAAGCAGGACUAUUACCUUGAAAAAUUAGAGUGCUCAAAGCAGGCUAGUGCCUGAAUACAUUAGCAUGGAAUAAUAAAAUAGGACGGCAUGGUUCUAUCUUGUUGGUUUCUAGGAUCACCGCAAUGAUUAAUAGGGAUAGUUGGGGGCAUUAGUAUUCAAUUGUCAGAGGUGAAAUUCUUGGAUUUAUUGAAGACUAACUUCUGCGAAAGCAUUUGCCAAGGAUGUUUUCAUUAAUCAAGAACGAAAGUUAGGGGAUCGAAGGCGAUCAGAUACCGUCGUAGUCUUAACCAUAAACCUAUGCCGACUAGGGAUCGGACGAUGUUAAUUUUUAAUGACUUCGG
rnacentral:rRNA from 1 species